AGGGUCUGCAGAAGUUGCACUUGCUUCUUGUCUCUGCAGGCUGACAAUGCUGAGCUAUUUGCAGCAUACCGUCUCUCCAUGAGAAUGUCUACUGUGGAUUUGAGAAGAGUAUAUAUUGCACUUGUUUGGGAUGAAGAGCUCAGAAGAUUUCUGCCACCAGGUUCCAGAUGCUAGCAUGAUGCCAACCAGACUUUCCUGGACAGACAACCCCACCAGUGUUUCCUGGAGCUCUGCUUCCCCAGAGACCCACCCUACUAGGGAAAGAGAGAGGCAGACUGGGAGUAUGGAUCGAACAGUCAACGGCCAUGUUCAGUAGGGAAGCAAUUAAAGAAGCCAGACCUUCCACCUUCUGC